AUUGAACGCUAGCGGGAUGCUUUACACAUGCAAGUCGAACGAGUUGCGGACGGGUGAGUAAUAUAUCGGACCGUGCCCAGUAGCGGGGGAUAACUACUCGAAAGAGUGGCUAAUACCGCAUACCAUUGGAGCGACCGAUAUCGGAUUAGUUAGUUGGUGGUGUAAAGGCUCACCAAGGCAACGAGCCGUAGCUGGUUUGAGAGGACGACCAGCAAAAUUGGGACUGAGACACGGCCCAGACGCCUACGGUAGGUAGCAGUGGGUAAUUUUGGACAAUGGGGGAAACCCUGAUCCAGCCAGCCCGCUUGUAUGAGAAGGCCUUCGGGUUGUAAAGUACGUUUGGCAGAAAAGCGGUAUCUGCAGAAUAAGCACCGGCUAACUACGUGCCAGCAGCCGCGGUAAUUC
rnacentral:rRNA from 1 species